AAGACCAGUCUGGCCAACAUGGUGAAACCCUGUCUCUACUAAAAAAAUACAAAAAUUGGUUGGGCAUGGUGGUGGGUGCCUGUAAUCUCAGCUACUUGGGAGGCUGAAGCAGGAGAAUCCCUUGAACCUGGGAGGUGGAGGUUGCAGUGAGUGGAGAUUGCACUAUUGCACUCCAGCCCAGGCGACAGAGCGAGACUCCGUCUCAAAAAAACAAAGAGCAGGGACUUCUCCCAGUUCUGCGAGCUGGGAUGGGAAGUCCAAGGUCAAGGGGCCUGCAUCUGGCUGGGGCUUUUUGCUGUGUCAUCCCAUGGUGGAAGGCAGAGGGCAAGAGAGCACGGGCAGGGGAGACAGACAGACACAGACAGAGAUGAGAGACAGAGACACACAGACCAAGAUGAGAGACAAAGAUGAGAGACACAGAGACAGAGAUGAGAGACAGAGAGAUGAGAGACAGAUAAGAGAGACAGAGACAGGAGAGACAUGGAGACAGACAGAUGAGAGACAGAGCUAGAGAUGAGACACAGACAGACGGAGACAGAGAAGGGGCCACACUUACCCUUUUAUCAGGAGCCACUCCUGUGCUAACAGCGAGAACGCUUUGGUGAGGACGGAGCCCUCACGACCUCAGCAGUGUUGCGUUGGGGAUCAGGUUUCCGAUGGUGAACUUGGGGACACGUCCACACCACAGCACGUGCCUAUUGUGUUUCUCGGUGGCUGGUGUGUUUGAGGAUGGCGCGUGCAUGCGUUUUCCAGCUUUCUUUGUGGAGGAAGUUACCUGUGGGUAUUAACCUGUCCCCAGCCACCCUCUCACUGAGCUUGGGUUGCCUGGGCCUGGGUUUCCUGUUGUUGCUGGAACGAAUGACCACAGACAGUGGCAUUAGACAGCGCAGGCAGACAUGACCUCCUGGGCUUCUGCGGGUGCCAACACUGCCGCUCCUUCUGGAGGCUCAGGGAGGCUCUUGAGGGCAUUGGGACAUCGUGCUGCCGGCCACCGGGCAGAGCCGGUUUGUUUAUUUUUUGAGACUUCCGGGAACAUAGUUAUAAAUAACUUUAAUUUGCCUUGGCCUGCCCACUGCAGUACAGUCACGUGUCACAUAACAUUCUGUCUACCGUGGACCACAUAUACGACCACGCGGUCACAUAAGCUGACAAUACUGUAUUUUUACUCCACUUUCUCUAUUUAGAUACACAGUCAGUUGCCAUUGUGUCCCAGCAGCCUUCAGUACUCAGUACAGCCAUGUGCUGUGCAGGUGUCUAGCUCAGGGGCAUGAGGCCAUGGCCCAGCCCAGUGUGCAGUGGGUGGCACCUUCUGGAUUUGUGUCAGUCACUGUGGAGUUCGCACAAUGACAGACUCACCUGGGAGGCCUUCCGUGCGCUUCUGUUUCUUUCUCUCAUUUGAUUGUGGCUAGAAACAGGCUGGGAACCAGGAGUGCAGCUUCUCGGAGUACGUGGCUGCCCCACGGGGUGGGAUGUGCAUUUUCAGUCACAUUUGGGGAGAGCACGCUUGUUCUUAAGUUUUUAGUGGGUUCUAAUAAGAAUGGAUGUUGAUUUUUAGAAUUCUCCCCUGUUUAUUUUUUAACAUUUUGUGGUGGGAAUUUGUGAAAGAAUACGAAGUCAAGAGCAUGGUACAGUGAGGACCCAGCACCAUCUCCAACCUCCCCGGGGUCCACGUGGGGUCUGCGCGUGGCCGCCUGUCCCUCAGCACGAUGUCUGGGUGUAAAUCUGAGACAUCACAGCAUGCAGGCUGCAGACGUAGGCAUCUCUACAAAAGAAGGAUGCGUUUACAGGAGAAUCGCUUGAACCUGGGAGGCAGAGGUUGCAGUGAAUCGAGAUCACGGCACUGCCCUCCAGCCUGGGCGACAAAGCCAGACUCCGUCUCAAAAAAAAAAAAAAAGGGGCGGGGAGCCGGGCUCGGUGGCUCAUGCCUGUAAUCCUAGCACUUUGGGAGGCCAAGGCGGG
rnacentral:lncRNA from 1 species